AUUUGAACUUUCACUUUUAGAUAGAACACAGAAUAUAGUCACACUCCAGGAUAUCUCCCAUAGAUGCCUAGAUCAAUACUACAUGAAGCCUCUGAAUGGGUUUAAAGCAACAGAACCCACAAAUAUUUAGAGUGGAAGAAAUUUCCAGCACAAGAUAUUUUAGAAGAAUUUCAUAAAAGAUUGCUCUCCAGACUGGUUGGAUUCGUUCACAGCUCCACCAACAAUGUAUCAGUGUCCCAGUUUUCCCGCAUCUCCUCCAACAAUCAUCAUUAUUUUUUCCUGUCAUCUUAACCAAUCUGACAGCAUUUUUAGUUGCAAGCCCAAUUCGUUGACCUUCUCUUUCUCUACUUUAUGCAGGUGAAAUUCACUUAUUUCGUUGAAUGACCAAGAAGAUGCUCAUUCUGGCUGGUGUUUUUAGCUUCUCUGCUGGGCUACUGACUUGCUGCCAGAGCAAAGUAUCCAAUCCUGUAGUGAAGCUCUCCCUGCAGAGAUGGCUGAGAUCACACCCCAACCCCCUCCGGUCUGCUCGGCUGUGAGCUGCCUGCCGAGCUCCUGCUGCCGCUGCCCUCAGCCUGUGCCUGAUCUAAAACCGUCCCGCCCUCGAGUAAAAACAGACCUUUCCUGGCGAAUCUCAAGGAUGUCUUCUCUUGAUAUAUGUCUUGAUUUUCAUCAUCUCAAAUCAACUGAUUGAUAUCAGAUAACAUUGUUAUUAAAAAUAACCAACUUUUGCGAGCCAAGAAGACAAACCAUUCUACCAGACAAGUAUCUGAGUCAAGUAAACCCCAUGUAGGAUCACAGUCAGACUUGUUUGAAAUAAGCAAAUAAUAACAAGGUGUUGCAAUUAUGAAUGCUUUUUUUCCACCAUCAAUAAAAUAACUAACAGCAUACAAAAGCUAUGUUCUGUGGUUAAUAAUAACAAUAAAACCUCUUCUCACAAAAGUAGGAUGUGGACAAAUGAAUGGAGGAGAAAACACAUCUGGACUUAAGUCUUUGUACUACCAUUCAAUGACUCUGAAACCCUUCCUUAAUCACCAGUUUCCUUAUAUAUAAAAUGAAUGUGUAACUUUACAUGAUCUCCAAAGUCACAUUUAGAUCAAAAACCUUGUGAUUCUCAUUGAUUUUCCAAAUAGUAUAUAGAUAUUUUCAGCAAUCAAUCAAUUGCCAGGUUCUGCCUCAGUACCACCUCUAGGGAGCAUUGCCACUAUGUUAAUUUAGUUAUAAAAAAGCAAGGGUCACCAGUCACAGUCCCACAAUUACAAGUGCUUAUGGAUACAAAGAACUUUUUCUCAUGAUUUUGCAAAAGUCUUGCAGAUUCCCAAGCUCCAAUCUGAAGAAAUGAUAAGAUCAAUGCUAAUAACUCAGAUUUUUACAGGGUUUCAAGAUCCCAAGGCAUUUUACCAACAAUAACUUUUGAUGAGUAGGUACAAUAUUAUUAUCCUCCUUUUGCUGAUAAGGAAAGGUCUUCUAAUAAGUAGUGAAUCCCAGAUAAAGCUGAAUUUAUCCAGGAACCCUUUGUCUUUCUACUAUCUCACUUUGGAUGAUCUCAUCAAAUCCACUGAGUUCAGUUAGUCUCUUUGCUUUUUUUAAUUUUUAUUUUCCUUAGUUACAUAUAGAAACAACAUUUUUGAUUAUACAUGAACAUUUUUGCAUAUUUCUUCAUGAAUCAUGUUGGAAGAGAAAAAUCAGAACAAAAGGGGAAAACCAUAAAAUGACAAACAAAGAAGAAAAGAAAUAAGUGAACAUAGCAUGUACUGAUUUAUAUUCAUCUCCAUAAUUCUUUCUUUGUAUUUUGAUGGUGUGUUAAAUCCAACGUUUAUUGGGAUUGCCUUGGCUCCCUGAACCACUGAGAAGAAGCAAGUAUAUUGUAGUUAAUCAUUGCACAGCACAACCUUGGUGUUAUUUGCUUACAAUGUUUACCUAUUUCUGCUUGUUUUGCUUACCAUCAAUUCAUGUUAAUCUUUCCAUGCCUUUAUUAAAUCAUCUUGUUUACUGUUUUUAAUAGAACGAUAAAAUUUCAUUACUUUCAUAUACCAUAACUUAGUCAGCCAAUUCCCAAUUGAUGGGCAUCUACUCAUUUUCAAAUUCUUUGACAUUACAAAAUAGCUGAAUAACCUCUCUUUACAGAAUACUCUCAAAUUUAUACAACUUGCCUUGACCUCUUUCCUAAAUUCAGGCUCCAGAGAUCACCAACUUACCUAAAGUGCAUUUCUAUCUGCAUAUCCAGGAUAUAAUUCAGACUCAAUUUGUUUGAAAUGGAG
rnacentral:lncRNA from 1 species